rnacentral:rRNA from 1 species
AGGAGUUUGAUCCUGGCUCAGGAUGAAUGCUGGCGGCGUGCCUAAUACAUGCAAGUCGAGCGGUAAGGCCCUUCGGGGUACACGAGCGGCGGACGGCUGAGUAACGCGUGGGAACAUGCCCCAAAGUGAGGGAUAACGCACCGAAAGGUGUGCUAAUACCGCAUAUGGUCUUCGGAUUAAAGGAUUUAUCCGCUUUGGGAGUGGCCCGCGUACGAUUAGAUUGUUGGUGAGGUAACGGCUCACCAAGUCGACGAUCGUUAACUGGUCUGAGAGGAUGAUCAGUCAGACUGGAACUGAGACACGGUCCAGACUCCUACGGGAGGCAGCAGUAAGGAAUCUUCCACAAUGGGCGAAAGCCUGAUGGAGCAACGCCGCGUGCAGGAUGAAGGCCCUCGGGUCGUAAACUGCUUUUAUGAGUGAAGAAUAUGACGGUAACUCAUGAAUAAGCACCGGCUAACUACGUG